rnacentral:rRNA from 1 species
GAUGAACGCUGGCGGCGUGCCUAACACAUGCAAGUCGAACGGAGUCCUGCCUUUAAGACCUUCGGGUCAAAGAGGGGAAGACGGAGUGGCGGACGGGUGAGUAACACGUGGGCAACCUGGCUCAUAGAGGGGGAUAACAGAGAGAAAUUUCUGCUAAUACCGCAUAAGCACACACUGCCGCAUGGCAGAGGGUGAAAAGAGAAUCGCCAUGGGAUGGACCCGCGUCUGAUUAGCCAGUUGGCAGGGUAAGAGCCUACCAAAGCGACGAUCAGUAGCCGAUCUGAGAGGAUGAACGGCCACACUGGGACUGAGACACGGCCCAGACUCCUACGGGAGGCAGCAGUGGGGGAUAUUGCACAAUGGGGGGAACCCUGAUGCAGCGACGCCGCGUGAGUGAAGAAGUAUUUCGGUAUGUAAAGCUCUAUCAGCAGGGAAGAUAAUGACAGUACCUGAAUAAGAAGCCCCGGCUAACUCCGUG